UUAGCUCAGUCGGUAGAGCAGCGGACUGUUAAUCCGCGUGUCGCUGGUUCGAGUCCA
rnacentral:tRNA from 1 species